UUAAAUGAGAGAGGUCAAAGUCUGAGAUUUUUUCUUUUAUUUAUUUAUUUAUUUUAUUUUAUUUCUUUUUUUCGUUUUUUUUCGUUUUAUUUUUUCGUUUUUUUCGUUUGUUUUAAAUAAAGUUUCUUGGAUCUGAUUCUGAUUGACAUGAUGAAAUGCAAUAUGAAAUGUUAAAUGACCUAAAAAUGAAUGCAUGAAUGAGGAGGGCAAAUUUUGGGGUGUUACAAAC
rnacentral:lncRNA from 1 species